UACGGGGGGGGCAAGCGUUGUUCGGAAUUACUGGGCGUAAAGGGUUCGUAGGUGGCCAACUAAGUCAGACGUGAAAUCCCUCAGCUUAACUGGGGAACUGCGUCUGAUACUGGUUGGCUUGAGUGCAGGAGAGGAACGCGGAAUUCCAGGUGUAGCGGUGAAAUGCGUAGAUAUCUGGAGGAACACCGGUGGCGAAGGCGGGUCUCUGGGCCGUAACUGACGCUGAGGAGCGAAAGCGUGGGGAGCGAACAGG
rnacentral:rRNA from 1 species